rnacentral:rRNA from 1 species
UUAAAUUGAAGAGUUUGAUCAUGGCUCAGAUUGAACGCUGGCGGCAGGCCUAACACAUGCAAGUCGAACGGUAACAGGAAGAAGCUUGCUUCUUUGCUGACGAGUGGCGGACGGGUGAGGA